AAUCAACGCUGGCGGCGUGCCUCAGACAUGCAAGUCGAACGAUUAAACUUCCUUCGGGAAAGAUAUAAAGUGGCGCACGGGUGAGUAACACGUAGGUAAUCUACCUUUGAGUGGGGAAUAACGUUCGGAAACGAACGCUAAUACCGCAUAAUGCAGCGGCACCGCAAGGUGACAGUUGUUAAAGGAGCAAUUCGCUUAAAGAGGAGCCUGCGGCAGAUUAGCUAGUUGGUAAGGUAAGGCUUACCAAGGCUACGAUCUGUAACCGACCUGAGAGGGUGGUCGGUCACACUGACACUGAAUAACGGGUCAGACUCCUACGGGAGGCAGCAGUCGGGAAUUUUGGCAAUGGGCGAAAGCCUGACCCAGCAACGCCGCGUGAAGGAUGAAGUCUUUCGGA
rnacentral:rRNA from 1 species